AACGUAGGUGGCGAGCGUUAUCCGGAUUCAUUGGGCGUAAAGAGCUUGUAGGCGGCCACAUAAGUUGGACGUGAAAACUCCGGGCUUAACUUGGAGAGGCCGUUCAAUACUGUGAGGCUGGAGGGUGUCAGAGGGAAGUAGAAUUCCUGGUGUAGCAGUGAAAUGCGUAGAUAUCAGGAGGAAUACCCGUGGCGAAGGCGGGUCUCUGGACAGUUCCUGACGCUGAGGCACGAAGGCCAGGGGAGCAAACGGG
rnacentral:rRNA from 1 species